GUCCUAACUAUUCCUGUACAAAAAAUUUCACCACACAGCACAGGUUUAUUGUCUGUGAAACUCUGAAGAAGGGCUUUUUCGUAGUGUUUGUUUAUACGGACACCUUCAUUACAGUUUAAUGACAUCAUAAUUAGGGAAGAGAAGGAACGUAGGUCCAUUCCGAUGGUGUGGCGAGAAGGAUAUGUUUUCUAGGAAGAACUUUUCCACCCCUUCUGGUCAUCAGAAGAACUUGUAACAAAGAACUUGAACCUGCCUUGGUUUAGUUCCUCCUCCCUCCCAAUCUGUUUGCCUUUUGUGGAAUAUCUUUUUAGAUCCAGACCCAUCUGUUUGACCCUUGAGACACUGCCCAGGCCACACCUUGUCACAGACCACCCCCUCCUUGAGUGCUUUGGCCAGGCUGGAAUAAGGUCUCUGAACCAUGAUAUUGCCUUUUGCUUGCCAGGAUGGAUCAAUAGAGAUGUAGAAACCCCGACUUUUUCAUAGCUGGAGUAGGGUUGCCAUAUUUCAAAAAGUGAAAAUCUGGACACAAAAGUUCUUAAGCUUUUUUUCCACCAGUCCUCCCCCCCCCAAAAAAAUAAGUUUUUUUCAUCUAUUUUAAAGGAAAUUCACCAAAAUCUACACUUCCAACAUGGGAUUUCCCUAGGCAUUUCAACAAAUUCUGCCCGGACACUGCUUACAAAGGCUGAAUCCCGGUUAUGUCUGGGAAAUUCUAGACAUAUGGCAACCCUAGAAUACAGCCUACUGUACAAGCAUAAGAGUUACAGCCAUAGCUCUGCCAACUCUGGCACUUUGCCUCUGCCUGAAGAUCACUCUUGUAGCCCUCAGGCUGAAACGGGUUCCCAACCCCUGUUGUAGGAACUGCCUUGUAAACUUUUUCCUCCCUGCUGAAAUAAUAAUAAUAAUAAUAAUAAUAAUAAGUGUGUGUGUGUGUGUGUGUGUGUGUGAUCUGUGCCAAACAGAACUUUGUUGUGGUUUGUUUGUAAGAGCUGCACCAAAUUUCAUUCAUGAUUGUUUUUCAGAUGAAAGCAGGGUUUGGAAGGAUGCAACCUACUCUAACCCCGCAGCAAUGUAUUGUUUUGCCGUUUGGCACGCUGAUUGACAGAGGAAGGACAAAUGCACUGGAAAGUAUGACAAAGCAAUUGCUUGAUCCAUUCUCAUCUAACCUCCCAACAAACACCUCAGGAUGAAUGCUCAAUAAACAGACCACCCAGG